GGCUGUUGGCACAAGUGGAUUGUGGGACCCGAAAUAAUCAAAUUGCAGAAGGCGAGACGGGGGGAGAGAGAGGGAGGGUAAUUGAAUAUCGGUGCGGAAGCUAUUCUCAAGUCAGCCAUUUCGUGCUUCUUUCUCCUGUUUAUGUUUUCUAAGAGAUCUCCAAAAUAAAAUAGUUCUAUUAUUUUAUGACGCGUAGAUAUACGUUAUAGUGAUAACGUAUAACAGCUCCUGCAACGAUGCUUAAGGAACGGCCGCUCCGAGCCACGCCAUCCAGACCAGAGGGCCAUGGGGCAGCUGAGCCUGCAGUCCCUCUCCCCCGCUCCUCCGCCUUUAGAAGGUCCUUUUCAGACUCGCAGGCACUGGCACGCGCCCCCCUUUCAUCACGAGUAGGUGCCACACGCUUCUCAUCCCCAAGUCUGGUCACUGCAGAUGCAGAAUAAAAAAACGAGCCUAUCACCGAGCAAACCCAAGUAAGGCAGCGCAAAAGGCAGUCACCGUGGUGAGGGGCCAGGCGGCGAUUCCAGCCAGACGGAUGAGCGCACGUCACGGGCUCCGGGUGACGAAGAAAGGGCACAGAAAGGUCCCACUGUGAAGGGAGAGAGCGUGGGGCAGGGGCCGGAGCGAGCGUGGAGACCCGGGUUCCAACUCUCUCUCCUCGUCCUGCCAGGGACUGGGCCAGGAGACUUCGGCCCUUGACCCCUCGGCUUCCAGGCCUGUGAAACGGGGCAUCGGGAGUGUGCUGACAGCCCAGGGCUCCCCUGAGAGCUUUGAGAAUGUGCCUGGAAGGUUCUAGCAGAAGGCAAAGACUCUAAGAACAUUAGCGGCGUCCCCGUUUGCGAAUGAGGCACAGUCCUGCGGUUCUCAAACGACCACUUUUCAGUGAGGACAACACGGGUGGUGACGGCGCUGUGAAUCAAGAACCCAUGGAGGCCUCCCUGGGAAAGGGACAGGUGGCGGUGGCACUGCCCAUGUGGAAGCAUGGCCACCCAGACCACCCAGACUCAGGCAGGAGGGGCCAGGUGGGUUCCAGGGCUCCCAAUCCUUGCUGAACCGUAGACCUGGGGAGAUUCUAAAACAUUUCUGCCCAGACCCCACCCCAGACACUGGAAUUUCAGUGGCCUGAGUGUAGCCUGGGCAGGGGAUGGUUAGAACCAGCCCCAUGUGUCCGGCUGGGCUGAGAACUGCUGUCCCGGAAAGCCUGUCACCUGUGCCCUGCAGGGCACCCUCCAAUGCUCCCCUCUGUACCCACCUGAAGGGGCCUUACGGCUGCAAACCACCCCAAGAGGGUCAGCCACACCCGGCCCAGCCCAGCACAGCCACCUUGCUGGGGUCUGCCCAAGCCCCAGAGCCCUGCAGCCAUCUGUGGGGAGCUGCUGACCACCCUGAGCCAAGGAAGCCUCUGCCCUGGAGAGAGGCUAUGAAAGACCAGUGUCUGGCAGUGCUCUGCCCGGCCCCAGAGCCUGGGGCAGAAGGGAAAGUCAGGCCCGCCGACCCUGUUCCUCUAAAACUUCAAUACUUCCUUCAUUGUAGAUAUCUUGCAUUCAUUUUGCAUUAACUGUGGUUAUUUAAAACACUGCAUUAAAACGUCACUUUCUGCCUCUCUCUCUCCUCGAACUGGCCCCACUCUGGACUCUCUGUGGGAUGUUCCUGCCACGCCGGCCCUCUCCAGCCCUCCAGACUCUGCUGGCUGCAAGCCUUACACGGGUGGCCCACCAGGCCCUGGAGCAGGUGACCUCCCUGCGAGCUCCUCCUGUCCCCAGAGUGCCUGAUGUCACCAAGGACACAUCAGAAUGGUUGAACGCUAGGUGGCUCCACUCCCAAGGGGCAUUUUGGAAAUUCAGGAAGGGCUGUUUUGAGUUGUCACGAUGACCUUCAGUGAAUGCACAGUCCAGCCCUUCAGGCAGCACUGACCCUGGUGAGGCCAGACCUUCAGGUCAGUGACGAGGCUGCUUACAAUUACCUGAGCUGGAACCUGGGAAAGCAUGCCCUGGAGAUCUCUGCUGCACAGUUAAUCCUCACUGACUUUUCCCGGAAGCAUCUCCUAUGUCUGCUGAGGCAGGACACGUCCCUGCGUUUGGAACUUCAUCACCUAGGGGAGUCACGUCAAAGGCAUGUGUGCAGCUGCUGGAGGCUGGAACGCCAGGCCUGGCCUGUCCGCCUCGGCCACGGGGGCUGGCGGGGCCAUGUGAUGGCCCGGGUUUGCCUUGGGGGGCUUCUGGGCUUCCCUGGAGCCAGAGCCAGGCCCUUACAUCUUGAAAAACAGACUAUUUUAUCAUAUGAUGUCCCUUUCAUUCCUCUGCCAUGUAUCAGUCAGGCCAUGAUACUGACUCUUUGGCAAAAUUGCGUGUGAGUGAAAUGGGAACGAGAUUCCAGAUGUGGACACCGGGAACGGCUGUCUUCAUCCUCCCGCCAGUCCUGACCUGAAGGUCAUUGGAGCCUGAAAGUACCGGCCCGUGGACAGAGGCUGCUUGCUACUUCUCACACCCCACACUGUCCUCCUCUCCUGUGCUGGUGACAGCGCCACCCCCCGACCCAUCAACUCUCAGAUUUGAGGAAGAGGAAGAGGCAUCUAUGAGGGGAGAUGGCUGC